UUCCUAGAUGUAUAUUUGUUUUCUGUCUAAACCUCUGGCGCGUUGUUUGAUUACCCGUUAGUAUUAGAUUCUGAGUCAGGUCAAGUUCAGAAUCAUCAUAAUCACUCUGCUACUGAUAACUAGACACUAAUUAAUCGGUAUCGUGUAAGUCUAUACUGAGAAGGAUGAUACCGAUAAUAAAAAGAAUCGUGUGGUAUUGAACAGUCGCAUUGUCACAAAGAUAAAAAAAAUGAAAAUGUGAUCUUUAAAAUUUAUAAUUAACAAAAUACAAGUAAAAGUUGCUUUUUAGAGGCUUAUUUAAUAAUAUUUAGUUAAUAGUGUUAUAGAAGAAUGAUUAUUAGUUUA